UACGUAGGUGACAAGCGUUGUCCGGAUUUACUGGGCGUAAAGAGCGCGUAGGCGGCGCGACAAGUCACUUGUGAAAUCUCCGGGCUUAACCGGAGCGGCCAAGUGAUACUGUAGUGCUAGAGUGCGGAAGGGGCUACUGGAAUUCUCGGUGUAGCGGUGAAAUGCGUAGAUAUCGAGAGGAACACCUGCGGCGAAGGCGGGUAGCUGGGCUGACACUGACGCUGAUGCGCGAAGCCAGGGAGGCGAACGG
rnacentral:rRNA from 1 species